UCAUAGGACUUUGUGCGAGUGGCUAGGCUAGGGGCUUCCUCUUUUUCAUUUAAAAAAAGUUAGGGAGGUGCAGUGAAACUUUACUCAUAUUACAGGGACCAUUUUGAUAGAGAGCUCGUGUACAGAAACUAAACUAAAAAAAUCCUCAAUUCCCCCCUCAAAGAAAAGCAAAAAGAAAUUUUAGUCCACAAACUUCUGUUUUCCAUCACUCAUUGCCGGAGAAACAAAUACAAACAUGUGUUAUGGAGAUGAAACGAAGCAAAAAAGCUGAGAAGGGAGAGAAUGAGGCUAUGGAGAGUGUAGGGAUUUUUCAUUGAAAGGGUGGUUGCCUCUCUCUGCAUUAUUAGCCCAUGAUUUCACUGUAAGAACCCUAACAACCCUUUCUUCAGUGCUAUUUGUGCAAAUUACCCCUUUUUCCCUCUUACGGAGGGAUUAUUAACAGCCUGUUUGGAUUGUUGUUACAUCAAUUUUCGUUUUUUCUUUCUUUUAUGCCUUCACCGGAGCAUGCCAAUGCUGCAGUGCUGCUGGUGGAGGUGAUGGAAGCGGUGGUGGUGAGUUGAAUCGGCGGCUAAAAAGAGGCGAUGAUGAUUUUAACAAAUUUUUAAUUCCCUUCUGAGCUUAUUAAUUAAUCGGGGCAUUUGAGAUUAUCCGACCCGUAUCUUGGCGGGGCAUGGUUUUUGCAGCCAUGGCGUCGUUGGGAUCUCCUGUCGCCCUAGCUUUAAAACAGAUCUGAGCCUCAGUUUUUUCUAUGCCCUAUUGGGAAAUGGAUAUAGCCAGAGGCGGAUUCAGGAUUUGUACGUCACAGCUUGUUUGGAUGGUUGUUACAUAUCGUUUCAUCAUGUGUAUUGUUUUGACGAAUACAAUGUUAAGCACUAAACUCACAGUACUUUUGGAAUUAUGAGUUUAGAAUCUAACAUGAAAAUAGCAAAAAUCUCAUUAGUUUAAGUGUGAGGUGGCGGUGAAAGCAGAGAGCUGUAGGGAGUUUCAAUGGGUGGUUUUGCCCCUCUCUGUCACUGAAAUGAUAAAUCUUUCCAAUUAUAAAAACCACCCGUUUGGUGAAAAAACGUAAUGACCUUGCUAGUUUCCCGUUCUUGUUACUCUUUCCGUUCCAAUUUAGGUGAUGCAAUGAGGCUACGAAGAUUUUACUCUUCUGUGAAAGAUGAAUCAGACAUUUUUCUCUUGAGUUGAAUAACUGUAUCUUGGCAUGGAAGCUCAGAUGGAUCUGUGGGAUUUGAAAGGAAAAGUUCCAUUUUUGUUUUUUCUUCUGUCUCAUAAGGCUAACUGUUGCUUGCAGCCAUUGCAGGUUUUAAAGCUCUUUUGGUUUUGUAUGAAAAAGGGGAAUUUUGAUCCUUGUAUUUUUACAGUAUCAGCUUGAUACUGUUUUUAAUAAAAUCUUCACCUUAUCAAAAAAAAAAGGGGGAAUUUUGAGCCUCCCCGUUGCCUUAAUUGUGCUAAAAGAAUGAGUCUCUAAGGUUGGCUGCUUUCUCUGUGAAUUCAUAGUUGAUGAAUUUUCUUGGUGUAAAGACAAUUUAUGCCGGCAUGAUGAGCGUGAUCAACAGCUUCAAAGAGGCCAUGUUGAUUUUGUAAAUCUAUCAUCCCCUUCUAAGCUUAUUAAUCAGGCAUUUGCAAUUAUCUGGCACGUAUCUUGGCGGGGCAUGCCCCCAGAUUUUCUGGUGAUUUUUGCAGCCAUGCGUCGUCAAAUCUAUUUUUGCUUGAGCUAUAACAUCGAUCUGAGCCUCAAAGAGGAAACACAAAAAUGGUGAAAAUCUGAUUAGCUUAAGUCUGAGGCUGCGAUGAAAGCAGAGAGCAGUGGGGAGUUUUAAUGGGUGGUUUUGCACCUCUCUGUCAUUCUCGGCUGCUGAUGAUCAAUGAUGAACUUUCUGAUUGCAAAACCACCCUUUUUGUGAAAUUUCACAUGAUCUUCCUCUUUUCCUUUUCCUGUUACUCACCCUGUUUCAAUUAUGAGCAAUGAGACUAUGAAGAUUUUAUUGUCUGCGAAAGAUGAGAAGAUGAAUCAGACAUAUUUCUAUUGAGCUGAAGAAAACUGUAACUUGGCGUGGCAGCUCGGAUGGAUCUGUGAGAUAUAAGGGGAAAAGUUCCAUUUGUGGUAUUUGUUCUCUGUCUCAUAAGGCUAAUUGAUGCUUGCAGCCAUGGCAGUUUUCAAAGUUCCCUACCCAGAGGUUCUACCUGGAAAGCAAAGAGUUGAGCAUUGCCUAGAGAAUGGGAUUUUUUGUAAAGGGUGGUUGCCCCUCUUUGCUAUGCCCGUGAUUUCUCCAUUGAUAACCAAAAAGACCAACAGCCCUUCCAAAUUAGAAGAAUUAACCUAUAUAGCCGCCCACCCAACUGCUUAAAUGAAAAAUAGCAGGCAGAUAUAUAAGAUAUGUAUAAUUCAUGUAACAUGAGUAUAACCAUGUUUAAUUAGUGUUAAUCUAUGUAUACCGGCUAGGAAAAGUAAUGGUGAAUUUGGCCGGCUAUUUGUGUAAAGAUCCUUUAAACAAGAAAAAAAAAAUCCUUCAUCCAAACACACCCUUGUACUCUUCUUCGUCUUCCUCUUCUCUUUGUGGUGCUGCUACGAUGUUUUAAAGGGGCUGUGAUGAUUGCUUACGUUUUGGGCUUUGUUCAAUCACGGCAUUGAAAAAAUACUGACCCGUGUCUUGGCGAGGCGACACCGUAUGGCUUUGUAUAGCUAACUGGUGUCUGCAGCCAUGGCAGCAUUGCCUUCUCUUUUGCUUAGUUCAAAUACGGCAAAUCUGAGCCCUUAAUGCCCAUUUCAUGUUCUUCAACGGUGAGUCCAUUAUUCUCUUUUGAGUUUUAGCCGAAGACUCUCAUAAGUCUCAUUUUAAGACUGUAACCGAGACUUUUUAACCGAAAGGACCGUGUAAUUCCUGAUUUAAGAAACUAACUCUUCCUUCUCUCUUUGUUUUUCUCUCUCACUAUCCCACGGGGAAUUUAUAUACAGAGAAAAGAGGGAAAAUAGAGCUAGGGAAUUUCGAGGUGAAAAACCAAAGAAUUCCCCAUAAAAGGAAAAGGUUAGCCAAGAGAGGAAAGAAAUGAGGCAAAACAGAGAGUAUUGGGAUUUUUCUUUAAAAGAGUGGUUGUCCCUCUAUGUUCCACCAUUGAUUUUCCUCCAUUAUCAAACCAACAGCCCCCUUUGUUUAUGAGAACAGCAGAAAGUGGAAAAGGAGUUAACUUAUAUGCAUUGCAUCUCUGUCUUUUCUCUGUGUGUGUGACCGUGUGUAUUGUUUUUAGAGUGUGGAUGGAAGGUACAUAAAGAGGCAGUGAUGAUGAUGUUUCUAUAUAUGGGCUAACCAACUAGGGCAUAGAGAUUAUCCAACCAGUAUCUUGGCGUGGCAACCUGGUAUGCUUGUGACUGAGACUUUUCUGUCUGUCAUGCAACCGCUGUUUGCAGCCACGGCGUGGCUGGCUUCUCUUUUGUCUUAUCAUAAGGCACAUCUGAGACCCAUUUUCUUGAGAGAAAAAAAAAGCAGAAUGUUUUCCAUGAUUCAAUGUCGGAAUAUGUCUAACCUGCGACUUUCUACUACAAGUUAUAAAGCAUCUUGCAGUCCUAAUCCAUCACCAUAUUUGUUCAGUAUCAACUGAGCAUAUCCUAUCAAGAAAGAAGAAUGAGGCAUCAGAGAUAUGUGGGUUUUCUGUAAAGGGUGGUUGCCCCUCUCUGUUAUGCCUGUGAUUUCUCCAUUCAUAACCAAAAAUACCAACAGCCCUUUGAAAUAAACAAGAAAAAGAAGAAGAAAAAAUCUGUUAACCAAAGACAGCGGUGUACUCCUCUUCCUCUUCACUCUGUGCUGCUGCUACUGAUGCUGUAAGGGGCUGUGAAGAUUGCUUUCCUUUCUGGGAUAUGUUCAAUCUUGUUAUUAAGAAAGUAUCGGCCUGUAUCUUGGCGGUGCGGCCUGGUAUGGCUUUUGUAGCAAACUGGUGUCUGCAGCCAUGGCAGCGUCGCCUUCUCUUUUGCUUUGUAAAGCAGAAGUGUUUAAAUGACAAUUCGUGCAAGUUUGAGGAGCUGCCUAUGUAUUUGGCCUAUCUGAAAUAACAAUACAAUAUAAUGGUUAACAACCAUCAUAACAAGCUGUUAGGGUUUGUUUGAUUUAGAGACAAGUUAUGCCGGAGGUGGUGAGAAUGAUUGAUGCCUCGAAAGAUGCGAUGAUGAUUUUGCAUAUCUUUCAUUCCCUUCUGAGCUUAGUAAUUGAGCAUUUUGAGAUUAUCCGUCCCGUACCUUGGCGGGGCAUGCCCCAGAUUUGGUGGUUUUUGCAGCCAUGGUGUCGUCGGAUCUCUUUUGCUUGAGCUAUAACACGCAUCUGAGCUCAAAAGGGAAACAUAAAGAUGGUGAUUAGUUUUAAGUCUGAGACUGCGGUGAGAGCAAAGAGCUUUGGGGAAUUUCAAUGGGUGGUUUUGCCACACUCUUGUCAUUCUACGCUGCCGAUGAUCUCUCAAAUGAAAAAUUUUCUAUUUGCAAAACCACCAGUAGUUGAUUGAUUUAUUACUCCUUCGAUUCCAUUUUUCAGAGGCUAUGAAGAUUGCUGUUUCUGAAAGAUGAAUCAGACAUUUUCCUCUGAGCUGAAAAGACUGUUUAGGCGUUUGGGCAAAAUUUGGUUGAUAUUGAAAAACAAUAAUCGUAUCUUGGCAUGGCAGCUCAGAUUGGUCUGUGAGAUGUGGAGAGAAACGAUCCAUUUUUGAUGUUUCUUCUCCAUCUCCUAAGGCCAACUGAAGCAUGCAGCCAUGACAGUUAUUAAAGCUCUUUGGAUUUUGUUUGAAAAAAAGUGAAUCUGAGCCUACCCCGUUACCUUGAUUAUUCUAAAAAAAGAGGGUUUUGUGACUCUGAGAAUGCAUGAAUUCCUAAGGGUGGUUGCUCUGUUUCUCUAUGAGUUCAUAGCCGAUGAAUUCUUUUGUGAUCUACAGCCUUGCACUGCAAAAUGCUAAUGAUUAUGGACCAUCUCAUCUGAUAUUUUAAGCUGUUAGAUGGAGAGUACACUUCUGAUAAUUAUAUUAUAUCUCGACAAUGAUGAUGAUGAUUAUGAUGAUAAAUCAAUCAACUAUAGCUCAUUCCCUAAUUGUUGUGGUUGGCUAUAUGAAUCCAUUCCUGUCUAAACCCUAAACCUAAUCAAUGAGGCUGUUAUGAUUUUAUCCAGUAAGCAUGAAAUCUCGGAUAUUUGAGCUGAUUUGUAUCUUGGCUUGGCAAAGUUCAGGGAAAGUUUUGGGAGCUGGUUUUAUUUCCUGUCUCGCAAAAGCUCUGGCCUUUGCAGCCAUGGCAGAUUAGCCCUUUUCUGAUAGUUUUAGGCAAAUAUGAGCCUCAUUUCUUUCUUUCUACCUGCCUAUUUCUUCGACAGUAGUAUAGCCUUUUUUUCCCUCCUUUUUCUUUAUGUUUGCAUUUCUCCAACAUUGUCAUUUCCCCCUCUUCACAACAAGAACAACACUUAAAUCUCAAACAAGCUACUGUCAUAUAUAUGAAUACUUGCUAUUCAUUCCGCUCCAUUUGGACUCGUUUUUUCCAAUAUUCAAUAGUUUGAAGUUCUCCAACGCUUUGUGAAAAGCAUUAGCUUACGUUUGAGGCUUGGUGAAGACAGAGAGCUGUGAAGAUUUUAGUCUUCUGUGGAAGAUGAAUCAGACAUUUUUCUGUUAAGCUGAAAACUGCAUCUUGGCGUGACAGCUCUGAUAUGGGUCUGUGAGAUAUUGAGGGAAAAAUUCCGUGUCGGUGUUUUUCUUCUGUCUGAACUCUGAUGAGGCUCACUGUUGCUUGCUGCCAUGCCAGUUUUUAAAGCUUUUGUUUUUUUCCCCUUAUUUUUUGUUUGAGAGAAGGCAUAUCUGAGCAUACCUCAAUACUUUGAUUGUGCUAUAAGAAUGAAGCUUUCUGUGAUUCAGACAUUGCAGGAGCUUCUAUGGGUGGUUGCUUUGUUCCACUGAAGUUUGAUGGCCUGUGAGUUCUUUUUUUUAAAUAAAAAUCAACAGCCCUCUCAAUUAACUAUGCCUUGCACCAAAAUAGUUGGAGUCAACUAUUUGCAACUCGUCGCAAACCCUACACCUAGUGAAUGAGUUUGUAAUGGUCUUAUCCAGAAAGCUUCAAAUCUCAGAUAUUUGAGCUGAUUCUUAUCUUGGCUUGGCGAUGUUCUUGAGAGUUUUAGUGAGAUUGUGUUAUUUCUAUCUCACAAAAGCUCUGACCUUCGCAGCUAUGGUGAAUUGGCCGUUGCUCUGAUAGUUUAAACAUAUCUGAGCCUCAUUUCUGUGCAACUUUCAAUUCCUUUGACAAUCUUCAGUUUUUUUUUUCUUUCUGGUUCUCUUUUAUGUUUUGCAUCGCUCCAAUUUGUUCCCCUCUCUUCAUAUGUCGCAACUAAGCUGCAAUCUUGAGGUAGUUGUAGUUGGUUAUAUGAAUUUUCACUAUCAAUUUCCGCUUCAUUCGGA